GCAGACACCCAACUAAUCACGGGGUUAAGAGGAUGGGAAGAUGCUGCCACCGUGAGCGACCACAAUCUGUCAUUGGCCGUCUGCCACCGUGUGUGAAUGGUCAUCUGGAAGAGCUGUCCAAACCGGGAGACCCUCAUGGCGGUUCCUGGGGGAGGCAGCUGGGAAGGUUGGGGUGUCCUGUCUAAAUUGGGUCUUACACGUUCCCUGCCUCUCGCCAUAUUGACUCAUCAGAUUUUUCAACUGAGUAACUGAUGAAUUAAUAAUUCCAAAUAAUGGAUGGUGUUACAGAAUGUUAAUGCAUCUCUGCGGGGUACAUGAAAGCCAGUGCGUCGUCGGAGAAGAGGAGCGGCCUCCACGCUUAUUAAUUUAGCCAUCUAAAUGAGAGUCAGAAUUUCAGCCUGAAUAAAUAUCGGGAGUUUGUUUAGGUCCCAGAGGUCUUUCAAAAAG